rnacentral:rRNA from 1 species
UACAGGGGGUGCAAACGUUGCUCGGAUUUACUGGGCGUAAAGCGCGUGUAGGCGGCUUCUUAAGUCGGGUGUGAAAGCCCGGGGCUCAACCCCGGGAUGCCGCCCGAGACUGGGAGGCUUGAGGUCGGAAGAGGGGAGUGGAAUUCCAGGUGUAGCGGUGAAAUGCGUAGAGAUCUGGAGGAACACCCGUGGCGAAGGCGGCUCCCUGGUCCGGUUCUGACGCUGAGACGCGAAAGCGCGGGGAGCGAACGGG